GGAUUGUGGCUCAGUGGUAGAGUGCACAUCUAGCGUGCAUAAAGCACUGGGUUCGAUCCCCAGCACCA
rnacentral:tRNA from 1 species